CGAUCGUUGGUGUCCCUCAGACCCUGGCAGCAGCAGGAGACUGGAGAAGACUGAACAGCACGGCGAGGAAUGGUUCAUUUAUUUAAUCUGACGAAGUGAUGAAAAGGAGCGAGUUGAACAGUCCCGGCACUCUGGCUACCCUGAGGAUUCAGAAGUGCUGGGAAAAUGUGGCAGCCGGAACGGACCAGUGAGUGGAUUAGGCAUGCAGGUGCAGACCCGGGGCUGAGGAGCGGAGAAGCCGGGGAGCUUUGCGCGCCGCCGGAUCUCCGGUGCCGCCGCGCGGGGGCUGGAGAGGAGCGCGCCGGGGGAGGAGGACGGCGGCCCGGCCUGCGGGGACGUGAGACGAGCUGCUCGCUUUUUAAAUUCUCUCUCUCUCUCUCUCUCUCUCUCUCUCUUCUUUUUUUAAAAAAUAAAUUCGGUGGCGUGAGGAGACGUUGCUCGGCGGGGCUUCGCGUCGUUUCCCGAACGUUUAAACAGACGCGAGGAAAAGCCAAAUCCGGGUCUCCGCGGCGGAAGCUGUGCGUGGGGAAAAACGUGGGAGACGCGCGUCAAGGACUAUGGUUAUGUGUGCUAUUGACCAGAAGAGUCUCAUCUUCAAAGAUUUGGGCCUUCCAGAAUAAAAAAGGCUGAACACUGCUUGCGCUGCUGUUUGCUGUCCUCAGAGUCACUUCCUUCAAGUGCAGAGAUAACUGGCCUGGCAGACAGAGAUAGCGGCCACUCUAUCACACCCUGCGCUGCUCAAAUCCUCCAUCACACUGUUUGUCUUAGACCAAGGCUAUUAAACACACACACACACACACACACACACACACAGAAAACACACCUGUGAGGCCAACACACCAAUGCCUCCCUGUGCCCAGACUGAGUGUGGCAGGGCUGCACUGAGCUGGUCAGUGUUGUGUGUUGAGGUGUCAUCUGCUGGUGGCGAGGGUGGCAGCUCUGCUGACAGUGCCGCGGCGGCAGUACAACCAAAACACUGCUGGCCAUCCGUGGAUGACACGAGCCACUGGAAUCCUGGCGACGGCUGAAAGCAAACAGCGACUUAUACUCGUACCCGCAGUAAAGAUAUCAGAUAUGUAUGUUUUAUGCAUAUUUGUAUGUGUCUGAUGAUUUAUGCUAUUUCUGUGAAAUACCAAGGUUUUUAAAUAAUGUUUUGUAAUUCAUUUCCGUUUUAUUCAUCUGAACUUUACAGAAUAAAAGAUCAAUUUUUUUUUAAAUCA
rnacentral:lncRNA from 1 species